rnacentral:rRNA from 1 species
AGCGAACGCUGGCGGCAGGCUUAACACAUGCAAGUCGAACGGGCACUUCGGUGCUAGUGGCAGACGGGUGAGUAACACGUGGGAACGUACCUUUCGGUUCGGAAUAAUUCAGGGAAACUUGGACUAAUACCGGAUACGCCCUUUUGGGGAAAGAUUUAUCGCCGAUAGAUCGGCCCGCGUCUGAUUAGCUAGUUGGUGAGGUAAAGGCUCACCAAGGCGACGAUCAGUAGCUGGUCUGAGAGGAUGAUCAGCCACAUUGGGACUGAGACACGGCCCAAACUCCUACGGGAGGCAGCAGUGGGGAAUAUUGGACAAUGGGCGCAAGCCUGAUCCAGCCAUGCCGCGUGAGUGAUGAAGGCCUUAGGGUUGUAGAGCUCUUUUGUCCGGGAAGAUAAUGACUGUACCGGAAGAAUAAGCCCCGGCUAACUUCGUGCCAGCAGCCGCCGUAAUAC